CGCGGGAUGGAGCAGCCCGGUAGCUCGUCAGGCUCAUAACCUGAAGGUCGGUGGUUCAAAUCCACCUCCCGCAA
rnacentral:tRNA from 1 species